GACGAACGCUGGCGGCGUGCUUAACACAUGCAAGUCGAACGGUGAAGGGGUCUGCUUUUGUGGGCCCUGGAUGAGUGGCGAACGGGUGAGUAACACGUGAGUAACCUGCCCCCUUCUUCUGGAUAACCGCAUGAAAGUGUGGCUAAUACGGGAUAUUCUGGGUCUGUCGCAUGAUGGGUCUGGGAAAGAUUGCGCCUUUGGGUGUUUUUGGUGGGGGAUGGGCUCGCGGCCUAUCAGCUUGUUGGUGGGGUGAUGGCCUACCAAGGCGGUGACGGGUAGCCGGGCGGAGAGGGUGGACGGUCACACUGGGACUGAGACACGGCCCAGACUCCUACGGGAGGCAGCAGUGGGGAAGAUGGCACAAGGGGCGCAAGCCUGAUGCAGCGACGCCGCGUGAGGGAGGGAGGCCUUCGGGUUGUAAACCUCUUUCGCCAGUGAAGCAGGCCUGCUCCUUGUGGGUGGGUUGACGGUAGCUGGAUAAGAAGCGCCGGCUAACUACGUG
rnacentral:rRNA from 1 species